UUUCAUCCUUCUCCUGGAGAGUUAUUAAAUCCGUCUUCACUCUCUUGUAUAUUAUCACAUUUAUAUCUUCUACUUUUUAUUUCCUUGUCUCUGUGUCUGAUAUAAUAGUUACUGCACAUGUGAACACACUCUGAUUGAAGUUGAUAUAUUAGUAAUUUACUGUGUUACGCUGCAUAGACAAAACCUGUAAAUAACUGAUACACAUUUGUUAACUGUUCUUAAAUCCUUCAGACAGACGCUCUGUGACGAUGAGUUGUUUGAGGGGCUUGAUGCACUUAGUAAAGUUCUCUGUGGCGUUGAUGUGGUCGAUACAUCAGAAGAGGAUCCUCAGAGGGAAACAGUAAAUGAACCAGCCGUUAAGAAGCCUAAUGUACCUGUACUCUAUGACAUCAGACAGCGGGGAUGUAAGAAGGAUGAAGAAAACAAACCAGAUCCGUCACCUUCAACCAAAAAACAGAACUAACUGUAGUUUUGAUGGUUACAUUUUAAGCAUCAAGUUUUUAUCAUUCCUUUGAGAAUUUCUGACCAUCUCUUAUGAGUUUAUACAGUUUAAAAGUUAUUUCCACAUGUUUUUUUUUAUGUUUUUUAUUUUUAUGUUCCUGUAAUAACAACUUAUUUAGUGACACUGUAACAGGAUGUAUCAUCAAAAUUAUCAUCAAUUUAUGAGUUUAUAUAUUGUUAAAAAGCUAUGUCCACAUGGUUUUACUUUUGAGUUUUUAUACUUUUGUAAUAAAUAGGAUAAAUUGUUAUGUGCACCUCAAGGAACUUGGUCCUUUCUACCAUCUCCACUUCUGUGCUCUUGAUAGUCAGUGGAGAGUGGCAGGAUGUGCUCCUCCUACAGUCAAUUAUGAGUUCAUUUGUUGUGUCGGCAUUAAAGAGAAGAUGUUCACUACA